GAUGAACGCUGGCGGCGUGCCUAAUACAUGCAAGUCGAGCGAGCGGCGGACGGGUGAGUAAUGUGUGGGAAACUGCCCGAUGGAGGGGGAUAACUACUGGAAACGGUAGCUAAUACCGCAUACCAUCGGAUGUGCCCAUAUGGGAUUAGCUAGUGGGUGGGGUAACGGCUCACCUAGGCGACGAUCCCUAGCUGGUCUGAGAGGAUGACCAGCCACCCUGGAGCGUGUACACGGUCCAGACUCCUACGGGAGGCAGCAGUGGGGAAUAUGGGACAAUGGGCGCAAGCAUGAUGCAGCCAUGCCGCGUGUAUGAAGAAGGCCUUGGGGUUGUAAAGUACUUUCAGCGAGGAGGCGUUACUCGCAGAAGAAGCACCGGCUAACUCCGUGCCAGCAGCCGCGGUAAUAC
rnacentral:rRNA from 1 species